GAGAGGAAAGUUAGCAAGCUAAAGUUUACUGUUAGCCAAACGUAAUUUUCUAAAAUAGAAUAGUUUCAUGUUUUUUUGUUUGUUUAUUUGUCUCCAAAAGUGAACAGACAAUAAUACAGUUUCAGAGUGGACUCCUCAGCUUCAAAGAUCAGUUUGUUGUCCACGGCUUUAACAAUGACGUCAAGUGUCUCUCCUGCUUUGACUGGAAGCUCCUUCACGCUCCACUUCUUAUUGAUUGAACUGGAGGGAUGUCAAGGCAAAGAUUAGUGAAGAAAAUAAGACCAACGACUGAUAAACAUUUUAACCUACUGGAUCCAUCCUGUGUACGUCCCAACCAUUUCCCCUCUGGGUUUCCCUGGACUCGGAUGAUGUCCAGACAUUCUCCCUGCUUGAGGCCGAGGGCAGUGGAUCCCCAGUCUCCUCUGCAGCCUUUCCUCCUGGAGGCGCGGCUCCAUGGAGUCCACCAGGUCGUAGAUGCUAUCCAGGGACCACAUGGGCGAAGGGAACCACGCCUUGACAUCGCUAUCCUUCCCCACAACCAGCAUGCUGAAAUAGUCCUUACUGAUCUUCAGCUGCUCUCUCAGAUUGUUGACCAUGUCGCGGGAUAACGGCUCAACUUCACUCUGACUGCGACCUGGAAGAAGAAGAAUGAAAAGCUACAAAGUCAGUUUACCACUUGGAGUCCUGAACAUUAAUAAACACAGCAUUAGCAGAA